rnacentral:rRNA from 1 species
CAGUAGCCGCGGUAACACGUAGGGUGCAAGCGUUAAUCGGAAUUACUGGGCGUAAAGCGUGCGCAGGCGGUUGUGUAAGACAGGUGUGAAAUCCCCGGGCUUAACCUGGGAAUUGCAUUUGUGACUGCACGACUAGAGUGUGUCAGAGGGGGGUGGAAUUCCACGUGUAGCAGUGAAAUGCGUAGAUAUGUGGAGGAACACCAAUGGCGAAGGCAGCCCCCUGGGAUAACACUGACGCUCAUGCACGAAAGCGUGGGGAGCAAACAGGAUUAGAUACCCGUGUAGUCCCUGUCUCUUAUAA